CCACUUCUCAGGAGAUUCUGACUGCUUCUCAGACUGCCUGCUCCCUAAGCACACGUAUCAGAGUCCUUGGGAAAAAUCUGUUAAUAUAAUUUUACCUCAUUGCCAGAAAAAAUGCUAAUCCAGUCCUAGGAGCUCUAUUUAACUUUCGCUUCAGCUAUAAUAUUGCCAAUUUAAAAGGAUGUUAGCCUUCUGGUCAGCUGACAUGAGCAAAAAAGCAGCCCAGCAAGACUGUGAAAGGUUUGGAAGGUAAGCUGAUACAAGAAAAUGACAGCCAAAUCUGCAAAGUCUCUCUCUCCAUUAUCCAUGUCUGCCAAGGUACCCACCUAGUGUGGCAGCAGGUACUUAGGAGGUAUUGCUAUGUCCUUAAUACCAUUGGUUUUAAUUACUUUUCAUUACUUAUUCAGUAUCAAAAACAUGCUUAAUACUCUGAUAAACCCAAAUUGGGAAUGAUUCCAGCCCAAAUG
rnacentral:lncRNA from 1 species